UUGACUUUGGUNUNUGUGANGCUUGCNCGUGACUAAACCACGUGACAAGAGAGAAAUACAGCAACAGAGAAUUUCAGCACAAUAUUCAGUGAAAGCAGAGACAGAAGUGAUUGUAGCUGUUAUUACUUUGAUAGAGAGCUUAUGCUAUAAACCGUUUAUAUCUUGAACGACAUUUCUUUUUACAUUUGACUUCAGAAGGAAACACAAUCAGUGUAUUCAGUGUUAUACAAACGUAUUCGCUAGCUGCUGAUAUAUUCACCAUUAUCAGACCAGUAUAUUGACCCAAUCGACUUCGAAGGCUUCCACUGCAUAAAGAAACCUCCGGUAUAUCCAUAGUCCNCGAUUCCAGAGUUCCAAGAUGUACUUCUUUUUCGAAGACCAGUGUAUUAACGCUACCGUUCCCACCACCCUGUCNUUCACAACUGCUGGUGUCUUGAGCCUGCUUUGUUUCUUCACANUNCCUGGAAAUCUCUUAGUGGUGCUCGCAGUGUUUAUUGAUCCUAACAAAGAACUACGAUCACCUUUUAAUUACUUUGUGGCGAAUUUAGCUAUGGCUGAUCUNGUGGUUGGUCUCGUCACAGAACCAGUGUCAGUUAUAUACCANGUAAAAGAGGGANUGGGACUUCUGGACGCCGGAUCUCCAGNAAUCCACAUGCCUUUCUUUAUAUCAUGCACAGCUUCAAUUUUAAGUCUUUUAGUGUUGACUUUAGAUCGAUAUGUCGCGAUAACUUCGCCGUUUAAGUACAAGACNCGGCUCAAUCCAGGCCGCGCGGCUUUGCUUUGCGGAGGAGUCUGGGCCAUUUCGCUNGGACUGCCGUUUGUAUAUUUCUACAUUGGUUAUAUUCCUUACGCGUUNUUAUUCGCUAAUAGUGCUAUACUUGUAACAUUUGUGGUUCUACUAUUCGCGUACAUACGGAUUUAUAAGAUAUUCCGUGAUCAAGUAAAAGGCUGGGAUGCACUGCAUGCAGGGACNGAGGAAAAUAUACGAAAGAAAAAAGCCGUACGCUGGGAACAAAAAAUCACCAAAACAUUCCUCCUCAUGUUGUUCCUCUUCGUNUUGUGUUACAUGACAGCCUGCGCUUUUAUAUACUUGCUGAACUUGUGUGACAAGUGUAGCUGUUUUGUCAUCCAGCUGUCACGCAAUCUUCAGUUCUUGUUGAUACUGUCGAAUUCGUGUAUGAACCCGUUUGUUUANUCGUGGAGACUGCGCAACUACCGGCGCGCUUUUUUGUAUGUCAUCACUUGUGGGCAUAAAGGAGGUAAUGAAGCUGCGAGACUNCGAGAAAUAGAGCUUAAAAGCUUCCGNAAGUCAUCGCUAAAAUCCGGAUCGAGUUUGAGACUGAGAAGAGAGAGCCUAANACCAACUUUUUUGGAUGGAUUGGUGUCAUAAUGGGUUUCCUGUGUUAUGGGGAAGAGUAUAAAGCAUCGAUAUCUCUCGUCAGUACCAAGGAAUGGAUAUCAAGGGACUUCGGAUGAUCGGACCAGAAACUCUUAAAACUUCUUGGACGCAGUUUUUUCUCUGGUGAACUCGUCAUGGAAGGACGACUNCAAAGCGUCUUGGGAAAUGAUUGGCGGCGUGAAUGCUCAAAAAUGACGGCAUUUCGUUCCAGAAUUCUCUCAGUUGCUUCAAAGUCAGNUUAUGCCCUUCAAUUAAGGAAGAUGUGAAGUCCAUUCCUCCGCGGUCAGCG
rnacentral:misc_RNA from 1 species